rnacentral:rRNA from 1 species
GACGAACGCUGGCGGCGUGCUUAACACAUGCAAGUCGAACGGAAAGGGCCUGCACUUGUAGCGUGCGGGUGUGGCGAGAAGGUGUGUAACACGUGUGUAACCUGUGCUUUAGAUUGGGAUAACAUAAGUGAACAGGGACGAAUACAGGAUAUGAGCACCUGAUGCAUAAUUGGGGAGGGUAAGAGUCGGAGGUUGGGGAUGGAAACGCGGCCUAUCAGCUUAUUGGUGGGGUGGUGGCUUACCAAGGCAUUGAGGGGUAGCCGGACUGAGAGGGUGACCGGCCACAUUGGGACUGAGAUACGGCCCAGACUCCUACGGGAGGCAGCAGUGGGGAAUAUUGCACAAUGGGCGGAAGCCGGAUGCAGCAACGCCGCGUGCGGGAUGACGGCCUUCGGGUUGUAACCCGCUUUCGCCUGUGACGAAGCGUGAGUGACGGUAAUGGGUAAAAAAGCACCGGCUAACUACGUG